rfam:Gorilla gorilla gorilla genomic chromosome, chr19, whole genome shotgun sequence
GCUGGGUGUGGUGGUGUGUGCCUGUAGUCCCAGCUACUCAGGAGGCUGAAGCAGGAGGAUUGCUUGAGCCCAGGAGAUUGGGGCUGCAGUGAGCUGUGAUUGCACCAUCGCACUCCAGCCUGGGCAACAGAGUGAGACUCUGUCUCAA